rnacentral:rRNA from 1 species
GACGAACGCUGGCGGCGUGCUUAACACAUGCAAGUCGAACGAAGAGCGACGGAAGCUUGCUUCUAUCAAUCUUAGUGGCGAACGGGUGAGUAACGCGUAAUCAACCUGCCCUUCAGAGGGGGACAACAGUUGGAAACGACUGCUAAUACCGCAUACGAUCUAAUCUCGGCAUCGAGGAUGGAUGAAAGGUGGCCUCUACAUGUAAGCUAUCACUGAAGGAGGGGAUUGCGUCUGAUUAGCUAGUUGGGGGGGUAACGGCCCACCAAGGCGAUGAUCAGUAGCCGGUCUGAGAGGAUGAACGGCCACAUUGGGACUGAGACACGGCCCAGACUCCUACGGGAGGCAGCAGUGGGGAAUCUUCCGCAAUGGACGAAAGUCUGACGGAGCAACGCCGCGUGAGUGAUGACGGCCUUCGGGUUGUAAAGCUCUGUUAAUCGGGACGAAAGGCCUUCUUGCGAAUAGUGAGAAGGAUUGACGGUACCGGAAUAGAAAGCCACGGCUAACUACGUG